rnacentral:rRNA from 1 species
AAAUUGAAGAGUUUGAUCAUGGCUCAGAUUGAACGCUGGCGGCAGGCCUAACACAUGCAAGUCGAGCGGAAACGAGUUAUCAGAACCUUCGGGGGACGAUAACGGCGUCGAGCGGCGGACGGGUGAGUAAUGCCUAGGAAAUUGCCCUGAUGUGGGGGAUAACCAUUGGAAACGAUGGCUAAUACCGCAUGAUGCCUACGGGCCAAAGAGGGGGACCUUCGGGCCUCUCGCGUCAGGAUAUGCCUAGGUGGGAUUAGCUAGUUGGUGAGGUAAGGGCUCACCAAGGCGACGAUCCCUAGCUGGUCUGAGAGGAUGAUCAGCCACACUGGAACUGAGACACGGUCCAGACUCCUACGGGAGGCAGCAGUGGGGAAUAUUGCACAAUGGGCGCAAGCCUGAUGCAGCCAUGCCGCGUGUGUGAAGAAGGCCUUCGGGUUGUAAAGCACUUUCAGUCGUGAGGAAGGUAGUGUAGUUAAUAGCUGCAUUAUUUGACGUUAGCGACAGAAGAAGCACCGGCUAACUCCGUGCCAGCAGCCGCGGUAAUACG